rnacentral:rRNA from 1 species
GAAACAGCCCCACCGUACAGACCGUACCCGAAACCGACACAGGUGGACUGGUAGAGCAUACCAAGGCGCUUGAGAGAAUGAUGUUGAAGGAACUCGGCAAAUUACCCUCGUAACUUCGGGAUAAGAGGGCCCUAUUCAUGGGCAACCAUGGGCGGGGGGCACAGAAGAGGGGGUGGCGACUGUUUACUAAAAACACAGGGCUCUGCGAAGUCGACAAGACGACGUAUAGGGUCUGACGCCUGCCCGGUGCCGGAAGGUUAAGAGGAGAGGUGCAAGCUUUGAAUCGAAGCCCCGGUAAACGGCGGCCGUAACAAUAACGGUCCUAAGGUAGCGAAAUUCCUUGUCGGGUAAGUUCCGACCUGCACGAGGGCGUAACGACUUCCCCGCUGUCUCCAACACCAACUCAGCGAAAUUGAAUUCUCCGUGAAGAUGCGGAGUACCCGCGGUUAGACGGAAAGACCCCGUGCACCUUUACUACAGCUUUGCAGUGGUAUUAGGGAUUGUGUGUGUAGGAUAGGCGGGAGCCUAGGAAGCAUCGGCGCUAGCUGGUGUGGAGGCACCCUUGAAAUACCGCCCUCCCGAUCUCUGAUAUCUAACCCAGACCCGUUACCCGGGCCGGGGACCCUGCAUGGCGGGUAGUUUGACUGGGGCGGUCGCCUCCCAAAGAGUAACGGAGGCGUGCGAUGGUGGGCUCAAGCUGGUCGGAAAUCAGCUGUCGAGUGCAAUGGCAUAAGCCCGCCUGACUGCGAGACCGACAGGUCGAGCAGAGACGAAAGUCGGCCAUAGUGAUCCGGUGGUCCCGUGUGGAAGGGCCAUCGCUCAACGGAUAAAAGGUACGCCGGGGAUAACAGGCUGAUGACUCCCAAGAGUCCAUAUCGACGGAGUCGUUUGGCACCUCGAUGUCGGCUCAUCACAUCCUGGGGCCGGAGCAGGUCCCAAGGGUAUGGCUGUUCGCCAUUUAAAGUGGUACGUGAGCUGGGUUUAGAACGUCGUGAGACAGUUCGGUCCCUAUCUGCCGUGGGUGUUCGAGACUUGCGAGGCGCUGUCCCUAGUACGAGAGGACCGGGAUGGACGCACCUCUGGUGUACCGGUUGUGGCGCCAGCCGCAUCGCCGGGUAGCUAAGUGCGGACGGGAUAACCGCUGAAAGCAUCUAAGCGGGAAACCCCCCUCAAAACCAGGUCUCGCUUGAGAGCCGUGGUAGACCACCACGUCGAUAGGCCAGAGGUGGAAGCGUGGCAACACGUGCAGCUAACUGGUACUAAUCGCUCA